rnacentral:rRNA from 1 species
UAGGGAAUCUUCGGCAAUGGGGGGAACCCUGACCGAGCAACGCCGCGUGAGUGAAGAAGGUUUUCGGAUCGUAAAGCUCUGUUGUUAAGGAAGAACGAGUGUGAGAAUGGAAAGUUCAUACUGUGACGGUACUUAACCAGAAAGGGACGGCUAACUACGUGCCAGCAGCCGCGGUAAUACGUAGGUCCCGAGCGUUGUCCGGAUUUAUUGGGCGUAAAGCGAGCGCAGGCGGUUAGAUAAGUCUGAAGUUAAAGGCAGUGGCUCAACCAUUGUAGGCUUUGGAAACUGUUUAACUUGAGUGCAGAAGGGGAGAGUGGAAUUCCAUGUGUAGCGGUGAAAUGCGUAGAUAUAUGGAGGAACACCAGUGGCGAAGGCGACUUUCUGGCCAUAAUCUGACGCUGAGGUACGAAAGCGUGGGUAGCAAACAGG